rnacentral:rRNA from 1 species
AAUGAACGCUGGCGGCGUGCUUUACACAUGCAAGUCGAGCGAGGCGGCCCGCAAGGGCCAGUCGAGCGGCGAACGGGUGAGUAACGCGUGGAUUAUCUGCCCUGAGGUGGGGGAUAACCCGGGGAAACUCGGGCUAAUACCGCAUAGGACCGUGAGGUCAAAGGGGGGUCGCAAGAUCUCUCGCCAUAGGAGGAGUCCGCGUUCGAUUAGCUAGUUGGUAGGGUAAUGGCCUACCAAGGCGACGAUCGAUAGCCGGCCUGAGAGGGUGAUCGGCCAC